rnacentral:rRNA from 1 species
CUGGGCGUAAAGCGAGCGCAGACGGUUACUUAAGCAGGAUGUGAAAUCCCCGGGCUCAACCUGGGAACUGCGUUCUGAACUGGGUAGCUAGAGUAUGUCAGAGGGGGGUAGAAUUCCACGUGUAGCAGUGAAAUGCGUAGAGAUGUGGAGGAAUACCGAUGGCGAAGGCAGCCCCCUGGGAUAACACUGACGUUCAUGCUCGAAAGCGUGGGUAGCAAACAGGAUUAGAUACCCUGGUAGUCCACGCCCUAAACGAUGUCAAUUAGCUGUUGGGCAACUUGAUUGCUUAGUAGCGUAGCUAACGCGUGAAAUUGACCGCCUGGGGAGUACGGUCGCAAGAUUAAAACUCAAAGGAAUUGACGGGGACCCGCACAAGCGGUGGAUGAUGUGGAUUAAUUCGAUGCAACGCGAAGAACCUUACCUGGUCUUGACAUGUACGGAAUCCUCCAGAGACGGAGGAGUGCCUUCGGGAACCGUAACACAGGUGCUGCAUGGCUGUCGUCAGCUCGUGUCGUGAG